UACGUAGGGAGCAAGCGUUGUUCGGAUUUACUGGGCGUAAAGGGCGCGUAGGCGGCUCGGUAAGUCACUUGUGAAAUCUCUGAGCUUAACUCAGAACGGCCAAGUGAUACUGCAGUGCUAGAGUGCAGAAGGGGCAAUCGGAAUUCUUGGUGUAGCGGUGAAAUGCGUAGAUAUCAAGAGGAACACCUGAGGUGAAGACGGGUUGCUAGGCUGACACUGACGCUGAGGCGCGAAAGCCAGGGGAGCAAACGGG
rnacentral:rRNA from 1 species